GGGGGGAAUAAACCUGGACAGAGUCUACAAUCACUGGAAAAGUGGUGAGAACAGAAGACAGAAUUUACAAGAUGCUGCACACACAGGAUGAUUUCCAGUACCAUAGGGCCAGUGGACAACGGAAAGGACAAGUGAAAUAAGUUAAGAGUCAUUAGGGUCCCAGCCGGGGGCGACCAUCCAGCCACAGUCAGGCAGCCAGACUUAAUCGCUCGCUCCACUAUCACCUGCCUUCCUAAGUAGGUUCCUAUGCUGAUUCGUGGGUUCUGGUCUGUUCAUUUACCACAGAGGAAGCCGGGUGAUUGUGACCAGAGCCUAUAGGCUAUGAACUAAAACAAGAGGCUCCCGAACUAAAACAAGAGGCUCCCACGCUGAGGUCUGUCCAAUGCUGGUCCGACCAAGCUGACUCCACACUCCAAGACUGCUUCCAUCACGUGGACUGGGAGAUGUUUCGUAUUGCGUCAGAUAACAACAUUGACGAAUACGCUGAUUCGGUGUGCGAGUUCAUUAGAACGUGCGUUGAAGAUGUCGUUCCCAUAGCAACCAUUAAAACAUUCCCUAACCAGAAACCGUGGAUUGAUGGCAGCAUUUGUGUGAAACUGAAAGCGCG
ensembl:lncRNA